rnacentral:lncRNA from 1 species
AUAAGUCACCAAUUCGAAAGAGAAAUAUUUCGACCCUAAACCUCGCACCCCCACCCGGCCUCCUCUCUGGUGGCUUCCCCAUUUCCACGUUCCCUAAUGACCUCUCCCAUCAAUGCGCCACCACUGCCACCAUUUAUACCAUUGCCCCCAAAUGCUAUUCGGAUUCUAUUCUACAUCAACAACUCAUGAACUCUCUAAUCAACAAUAUCGUCAUCAGCGGCAGCGACAUUUCUCGAAAUGGUAAAGGCCCUCAAAUUCCAAUCCCCACCCUUGAUUCGCUUCUCCAAAAUCUCUAGAAGUUGCUGCCCUUUACCCAUCUCCCUCCUUUUCUCCUCACAACCGGUUCAACAAGAAAAUCUUGAACAAGAGCAUCAUAUUUCAUCCAGCUUAGUCUCCAGAGUGUGCGAAAUCCUAUCCAAUCGGAGAGUCGAUUGGCGGCGAAGCUCGGAGCUAGAGUCCUUGAGCUUGAAGCUCAAACCCCACCAUGUUGCCAAAAUAAUCGAAACCCACAAUAGCACCGACUUAGUUUUGCAGUUUUUUUAUUGGGUUUCUAAGAGGCCUUUCUACAAACAUGAUUUGAGCUGUUAUGUUUCUAUGUUGAAUAGGCUGGUUAAAAAUAAGAUUUUUACGCACGCUGACCAUGUUAGGAUUCUUUUCAUUAAAGCCUGUAGGAAUGAGGGAGAACUUAGAAAGGUUCUUGAUUUUUUGAAUGAGAUUAGUAAAAUGGGUCUUUCUUGUAGUCUGUAUAGUUUUAAUACUUUGUUGAUUCAAUUGGGCAAGUUUGAUAUGGUGGUCAUGGCUCAGAAUGUGUAUAAGGAAUUGUUGAAUAGUGGGAUCAAACCAAAUUUGUUGACUUUGAAUACCAUGAUUAAUAUCUUCUGUAAGAAGGGGAAGGUUGAAGAGGCUGAAAUUAUAUUGAGUCGCAUUUACCAGUAUGAAAUGUUGCCGGAUGUGUUCACAUACACAUCAUUGAUUCUUGGGCAUUGUAGAACUAGGAAUUUAGUUAAGGCGUUUGUUGUUUUUGAUCAGAUGGUGAAGAAGGGCAUUGAUCCAAAUUCGGUAACAUAUACUACUCUUAUCAAUGGGCUAUGUGAAAAUGGAAGAGUGGACGAGGCACUGGGCAUGAUAGAGGAGAUGAUUGAGAAAGGGAUUGAACCAACCAUAUAUACCUACACGGUGCCUAUUACUGCAUUGCUUGCAGUUGGGCGCAUGAAUGACGCUAUCAAUCUAGUCGCUAGCAUGAAAGAGAGAGGUUGCCAUCCCAAUGUUCAGACCUAUACUGCUCUUAUUAGUGGGUUGGGCAAAUCCAGUCAACUUGAGGUAGCUGUUGGAUUGUACCAUAAGAUGUUGAGAAAGGGCUUGAUGCCAACGGCAGUCACAUACAAUGCUUUGAUAAAUGAAUUGUGUGAGGGUGGGAAACUUGAUACUGCCUUUCGAAUUUUUCAUUGGAUGGAGGGACAUGGUUACUUGCCAAAUGCUCAAACCUAUAAUGCAAUGAUAAAAGGACUCUGUAUGAUUGGAAAUUUUGAGAGGGCGAUGAUUCUAUAUAACGAAAUGCUGAAGGUGGGUCCUGCACCUACAGUGAUUACGUACAACACUCUCAUUAAUGGAUACCUGGAAAGGGGUUUUCUGGACAAUGCUAUGAGAUUAUUAGAGGUGAUGAAGGAAAGUGGUUGUCAACCAGAUGAAUGGACAUAUGCAGAACUUGUUUCAGGUUUUUGCGAAAGGGGGAAGCUUGAUAUGGCUUCUGCACUUUUUCAGGAAAUGAUGCAACGAGGUUUGAGCCCAAAUCAGGUGAACUACACCACUUUGAUCGAUGGCCUUUGCAAGGAAGGGAAAGUUGAUGAUUCACUGAUAUUAUUUGAAGGAAUGUUCAAGAGUGGUUGUGAUCCAGAUAUUGAGACUUACAACUCGGUUAUAAAUGGUUUGUCGAGAGGGAACAGGCUUUCUGAAGCAGAGAAACUAUGCAAUAAGAUGGUAGAAAGUGGACUUCUUCCAAACGUGAUAACCUACACAACUUUAAUUGAUGGUCUGUGUAAGAAUGGUGGAACACAUCUUGCAUUCAAGAUUUUCCAUGAAAUGGAGAAAAGGAAUUGCUUACCAAACUUGUACACUUAUAGUUCACUAAUCCAUGGAUUAUGUUUGGAAGGUCAGGCUGAUCGUGCAGAGAUGUUACUUGAAGAAAUGGCGAGCAAAAAGUUAUCUCCUGAUCAGGUCACAUAUACUUCAUUGAUUGAUGGGUUUGUCACCCUGGGUAGAUUAAAUCACGCAUUUGAACUUCUUCAUCUGAUGGUACAUGCGGGCUGCAAACCUAACUACCGAACAUUCUGUGUGUUGCUGAAAGGGUUGCAAAAGGAAUGUCGGAUGCUUGCAGAAAAAGUUGCAGUCCAACAUGAAACAGUCUACAGCUGCAAUGCAGAUGAGAAGGAUUUUACAUAUGAUACUUUAUGUAAUCUCUUAGUUAGGUUGUCCGAGAUUCACUAUGAACCUUCUGUUGAUACAUAUUGCUGUUUAAUUGCUGGCCUCUGUAGAGGUGGCAAAUUGUAUGAGGCAGAACAGUUGGUUAAAUAUAUGAAAGAGAAAGGGCUAAGUCCUAAUGAUGCAAUUUAUUGCUCUCUCCUCAGUGCUUACUGCAAGUAUUUGAGAAUGGAGCCUGCUCUAGAAGUAUUUAAUUUAUUAGUUGUCAGAGGUUUCAAUCCUUCUUUAUCAAUUUAUAGACAACUUAUUUCCUCUCUUUGCAAGAUAAAUUGGGUCAAAGAGGCCGAAAUUUUGUUUGAGAACAUGCUUGAGAAACAAUGGAAUACUGAUGAAAUUGUUUGGACUAUCUUGCUUGAUGGAUUGCUCAAGGAGGGGGAAUCAAUAGUAUGCUUGAAGCUUCUUCAUACUAUGAUCUCUAAGAAUUACUCUAUCAGUUUGCAAACAUAUGUCAUGCUGGCAAGAGAAUUAUCCAAAGUUGACCAAUCUAUUGAUAUGAACCAAGUUGCUGAUAAAUUGCAAAGCCUGAGAAAGAAAAAACCAGGCUGAAGUCUUCAUUUUAAUGAAUUGACCGCAUAGAAAACAUAUUGCCUUCUCUUGGAAGACAGAUCCUCCUGCACUUUGUCCCUUGCUAUUUCACUUGAUUCCAAUGGCCCUUUUGCAGCAUCUGUAAAUAUAAUUUUUGAGCUGCAAUCUAUGAUCAAUGAGUGGUAAGCCUAUUGUACUUUUCGAUGGGAAUCUUGAUGGCCCGAGUUUAUAUUUUGUUUUUAUUUGCAUGGUUUAAUUGAAGCUCAUUAAAAGAAACAAAAUUAGUUUACUGAGGUUGUUACUGUAUUGUUGUUCUGUCAUAAUAUGUGAGUUUUCCAAUGGUAUACAGGUUAACUGGUUACAGAAGAACUCACCUAACUAGGAUCACCAACACAUGGGGUCUGAUUCAGGGAAUUUGUCAUGAUGACAGGACGAGGGAGAUGUAGCCUGUAUUGAACUUAUCAUUUCAGGUAAGUGGUGAACGCCUGAAUCUUUGAAUUUAAGCUCCGCUUUAGAAUUUAAUUAGCUAUAUAGUGAUAAUAACAAUAUUGAGGUUCCACCAUAACUUAAAGAAGAACAAGCACCUGUAAAGCAAUAAGUUGGAAAUUAAUUGAUAACUGAUAAAAUAUAAUAAUGCAACUGUUUAAUAUCUUUUCAGUACUUGGUCGCUACCACAAUAAAGUAGCCAUCUAAAACCAAAUAACAAGUGAAAACUAAUGGAAAGUUGUUGCAACUCUUGUUCUUGUUUCAGAAUUUGUAACAUAAAACUUUGGGACAGGCUGCUUGCUUUUUAUGCAAAUGCAAACAAAGAAGCAGCUUAGAAUUGCAUAUUUUCUUGGGCUUGGCUUAAUUUAUGGAUUAUUUUAUAUUAUGGUACUGUAAUUAAUUCCUUUAAAUAAGUGGAUAGGAAUAUAUUUUGUAGUUCGGAAUAUUCUAGGAUUUUUAUUUGUUUCUGGGUUGCAUAAUUACAGUUCGUGCCUUUCUGAUUUCUGUUUGCUGACUUUAAAUAUAAGUUGUCCGAGAAUAUUAAUUUGAAAAAAUUUACACUACAACCGCUCGUAUUAUUGUCAGUGACUCAAUGCAACUAGGCACCAAGAAUUUGUGAGCUUGCUGUGUUUGUCAUGAAAACACUGCAUGACCUUCAAGCCAUACCUCAUUUUGAAGCAAGAAAGAAUCUUCGACUACAUGGAGUGGCCAAAGAAAAAUUUCUACUGUCCUUACUACGUUGGAAAUCUUCAUCCUGUAGAUGUUGCAUAAAGAAAUUACUUGCAAUAAACUUAGUAAAUCUUAUAAAAUGAUCACUUAUGAUGAGGCUCAUUGACUAUGAUCCGUAUUGGAGAAAGUUUGGAAGCUGACUUAGUCUGGAGAAGCACAAAAGGUUGAGUUAAUUUGUGCAUUAGAGUUGGUAAAAAGACUUUGACGUAUGCCUGAACUAGGUAUCUUAUGGAUCAUGCAAUAUUCGGUUCAUGUUAAAAAUUUGCUUAACAUGGGACUCUGGAGCAAAUCGAGCUUGGUUUUGUCACCCUAAGCCAAAACUUGUUAUUUAUUGAUUUUGCCUAGUGUCCGGGAGGCUACUCCAAUAAGGCCUGUUUAGUCUUAUUUAUCUAAUUAGACCGUACAUACUAAAGCAAAGGGCUUUCACAUCGAGAAUUAUUUGCAAAUGAAGAAAUGUCAAAGGGGCUUCUUACUUCCCAAACAGAUCCUCGUACAUCUGUAUAUAAACGCUGGUUUGUCAACAUAUUUUCUUAACUAUUUACAUAACCUGCAUCUUUUCUUAAUUAUAACUAGGUAUCUGGAUCUUCCAUGGAUUUCUGUUGUUAUUACCUGUUAUUUGCCUCCUAUUUAUGGGAUUAUAGAGUUUGAUUUAGACUAAUUCCAUCUGCAGGUCGCUAUUUUACAGCUACGAAUGGAUACCUGUAUACGCAGUUAAUCUUGUCACAAAUCGUACAAGAGUGAUGAGAUAAGAACAAUUUUGUACAGAUUUGUUUGUAUUGCUGGGGCAAAGGUUUUAUUCUUUUCUUCUAAUUUUAGAUUAGAUAUAGCAAAUUAUUGUCCUCAUUCAUACAAAAUUAUAGUUCCCAAAUGGAAAUUAGGCUCGCUAAGAAUAAAAGGGUUACGGUAUCAUUACAGUCUUGAUUUAAUAAACCUCUUGUAAAGCUUAAAUCAUGCAUUGCAUGUAAAUUGAUUCUAUGAAUAAUCUUGACCGUUAGAUUCUAUGUGCAGUUUGCUGAGAAUGUCAGGUUUGAUUUAUGCAGUUUUACAA